rnacentral:rRNA from 1 species
GGCAUGUGCACGCUCUCCUUGGAACCUUUGCCUUAUGGGCGCGGGGCGACCCGCGUCUUCAUAUACCUCUUCGUGUAGAAAGUCUUUGAAUGUUUAUAUUAUCAUCGAGCCGCGACUUCUAGGAGACGCGGUUCUUUGAGACAAAAGUUAUUACAACUUUCAGCAAUGGAUCUCUUGGCUCUCGCAUCGAUGAAGAACGCAGCGAAUCGCGAUAUGUAAUGUGAAUUGCAGAUCUACAGUGAAUCAUCGAAUCUUUGAACGCACCUUGCGCUCCUCGGUGUUCCGAGGAGCAUGCCUGUUUGAGCGUCAGUAAAUUCUCAACCCCUCUCGAUUUGCUUCGAAAGGGUGCUUGGAUGGUGGGGGCUGCCGGAGAUCUGGACUUCUCGUCUAGGACUCGGGCUCUCCUGAAAUGAAUGGGCUUGCGGUCGACUUUCGACCAUGCAUGACAAGGCUUUUGGCGUGAUAAUGAUCGCCGCUCGCCGAAGUGCAUGAAUGAACGGUCCCGUGCCUCUAAUGCGUCGAUGCCUUCUGGCGUCUUCCUUAUUGAC